GUUGAGGUGUAAAAUGCUUGCCUACCAUGCAGGAAGCCCUGGGAGCCAGGUGGAUGAUAAAACUAGUUAUCAGUUGUGUGCUUGGGUGGUACCUAAAAAUCUUGACAAGGCAUCUGAUUUAUGUAAAAGGCCCUGGAUUUGAACCUUAGCACUGCACAUAAGAGGAGUUACUGUACUGAGAAUUUAAUUUUUCCCCCCUCUAGCUAUUAUUUGGAAAGCAGAUCUAUUAAUGAGAAAGAUUAUCAUAGUCGACGGUACAUUGAUGAAUACAGAAAUGACUACAUGGGAUGUGAGCCAGGACAUCAUUAUCGAGACCGUGAAAGCAGAAAUCAGAAUCAUAGUAGCAAAUCCUCUGGUAGAAGUGGAAGAAGUAGUUACAAAAGUAAACACAGGAUUCACCACAGUACUUCACAUCAUCAUUCACAUGGGAAGAGUCACCGAAGGAAAAGAACCAGGAGUGUAGAGGAUGAUGAGGAGGGUCACCUGAUCUGUCAGAGUGGAGACGUACUAAGUGCAAGAUAUGAAAUUGUUGAUACUUUAGGUGAAGGAGCUUUUGGAAAAGUAGUGGAGUGCAUCGAUCAUAAAGCGUAAGUUUCCUAUACUAGGAUUAUAUGUUACGAAUUUUGCAGUAGAAAAAAUUAAGUUUACAUGAUAGGCCU
rnacentral:lncRNA from 1 species